UACGAAGGGGGCUAGCGUUGCUCGGAAUCACUGGGCGUAAAGGGUGCGUAGGCGGGUCUUUAAGGCAGGGGUGAAAUCCUGGAGCUCAACUCCAGAACUGCCUUUGAUACUGGGGAUCUCGAGUCCGGGAGAGGUGAGUGGAACUGCGAGUGUAGAGGUGAAAUUCGUAGAUAUUCGCAAGAACACCAGUGGCGAAGGCGGCUCUCUGGGACGGUACUGACGCUGAGACGCGAAAGCGUGGGGAGCGAACAGG
rnacentral:rRNA from 1 species